rnacentral:rRNA from 1 species
ACUCAAAUGAAUUGACGGGGGCCCGCACAAGCAGCGGAGCAUGUGGUUUAAUUCGAAGCAACGCGAAGAACCUUACCAGGGCUUGACAUCCCAAUGACGGGUAUAGAGAUAUACCUUUUCUUCGGAACAUUGGAGACAGGUGGUGCAUGGUUGUCGUCAGCUCGUGUCGUGAGAUGUUGGGUUAAGUCCCGCAACGAGCGCAACCCCUAUUAUUAGUUGCCAUCAGUUGAAGCUGGGCACUCUAAUGAGACUGCCGGGGAUAACUCGGAGGAAGGUGGGGAUGACGUCAAAUCAUCAUGCCCCUUAUGUCCUGGGCUACACACGUGCUACAAUGGCCUGAAACAAAGGGAAGCGAAGGCGUAAGUCGGAGCGAACCCCAUAAACCAGGUCCCAGUUCGGAUUGUGGGCUGCAACCCGCCCACAUGAAGUCGGAGUUGCUAGUAAUCGCGAAUCAUCAUGUCGCGGUGAAUGCGUUCCCGGGCCUUGUACACACCGCCCGU